GGAACGUGCGCAAUCUGAAAUCAAAAUAGUACUUAGUGCGGCGAGAAUAACCGGAUGGAUGCGUUUCGUGAAACACAUUGCAAAAACCACACGCGACAACUCACACUCGCUGACCUUUACCUGCACGCAGUCUACGCCUUGGGCUUGUUGCCGGUCUG